CCUACGGGCGGCUGCAGUGGGGAAUAUUGCACAAUGGGCGCAAGCCUGAUGCAGCCAUGCCGCGUGUGUGAAGAAGGCCUUCGGGUUGUAAAGCACUUUCAGCGGGGAGGAAGGCGGUGAGGUUAAUAACCUCAUCGAUUGACGUUACCCGCAGAAGAAGCACCGGCUAACUCCGUGCCAGCAGCCGCGGUAAUACGGAGGGUGCAAGCGUUAAUCGGAAUUACUGGGCGUAAAGCGCACGCAGGCGGUCUGUCAAGUCGGAUGUGAAAUCCCCGGGCUCAACCUGGGAACUGCAUUCGAAACCGGCAGGCUAGAGUCUUGUAGAGGGGGGUAGAAUUCCAGGUGUAGCGGGGAAAUGCGUAGAGAUCUGGAGGAAUACCGGUGGCGAAGGCGGCCCCCUGGACAAAGACUGACGCUCAGGUGCGAAAGCGUGGGGAGCAAACAGGAUUAGAUACCCGAGUAGUC
rnacentral:rRNA from 1 species